GACAGAGGUGCCGAGCGUUAGGCGGAAUCACUGGGCUUAAAGCGUGUGUAGGCGGAUGGGUAAGUACCUUGUGAAAUCCCACGGCUCAACCGUGGAACUGCUCGGUAUACUGCUCGUCUUGAGCCAACUAGGGGCGACCGGAACAAACGGUGGAGCGGUGAAAUGCGUAGAUAUCGUUUGGAACGCCGAUGGUGAAAACAGGUCGCUGGGGUUGUGCUGACGCUAAGACACGAAAGCCAGGGGAGCGAACGGG
rnacentral:rRNA from 1 species